CCCAGCCACUUGUCUACAGAAGCGUCUGAAUGGAGGAGAGUGUGUUGGCCAUAACACUUGCCACUGUCCUACAGGCUGGCAGGGCAUGCUAUGCCAAGUCCCACUGUGAACAGAAGUGUCUUUAUGGGAGCCGAUGUAUCCGCCCUAAUGUCUGUGCCUGCAGGAAAGGAUAUUCAGGGGUCCUGUGUUCCCAUAAGCUCCCAAUUCCACGAGGCUGAUGGAGGUCUGUGAACUAUGUACUGAAGAUGCUGGGCUGAAAAAAGACAAUGAAACUCCUAAUGGAACCACCACACUGACUAUUAGGAUUCUCGAUGCCCAUGGCUUUUGUUUCUUCAAAAUACAAUUCCAAAGAUUAUGAUCUGUACAUAAUAUAUGUAUAAUAUUUGUAUAACACUUUUUCUUAUAACCAAUAAUACUCUAUUUUAUCUAUUAAAGUCUGGCUUUAAAAAAAAAACAAGAUUUAAACAAAGCACAAAACAGUCCUGUAUACUGUGGAACAAACUCACCGAGUUGGCAGUUUUACGAUCAAACUAACAACUUGCUUGGAAUUGUUAUUUAUUUGGUUGUCUGAUGCUUUUAUAAUUGUAUACUGUUGUACAUAUGUACAAUACAUAGUCUCGAUC